rnacentral:rRNA from 1 species
CCUACGGGAGGCUGCAGUGAGGAAUAUUGGUCAAUGGGCGCGAGCCUGAACCAGCCAAGUAGCGUGAAGGAUGACUGCUCUACGGGCUGUAAACUUCUUUUAUAAAGGAAUAAAGUGAGGCACGUGUGCCUUUUUGUAUGUACUUUAUGAAUAAGGAUCGGCUAACUCCGUGCCAGCAGCCGCGGUAAUACGGAGGAUCCGAGCGUUAUCCGGAUUUAUUGGGUGUAAAGGGAGCGUAGAUGGGUUGUUAAGUCAGUUGUGAAAGUUUUCGGCUCAACCGUAAGAUUGCAAUUGAUACUGGCAGUCUUGAGUACAGUUGAGGUAGGCGGAAUUCGUGGUGUAGCGGUGAAAUGCUUAGAUAUCACGAAGAACUCCGAUUGCGAAGGCAGCUUACUAAACUGCCACUGACAUUGAUGCUCGAAAGUGUGGGUAUCAAACAGGAUUAGAUACCCCGGUAGUC